rnacentral:snRNA from 1 species
AUCGCUUCUUGGCCUUUUGGCUAAGAUCAAGUGUAGUAUCUGUUCUUAUCAGUUUAAUAUCUGAUACGUCCUCGAUGAGAGGACUUUAUAUUAAACGGAUUU